GCCCGUCUAGCUCCAGUUGGUAGAGCAUCAGACUUUUAAUCUGAGGGUCGUGGGUUCGAGUCCCACGGUGGGCG
rnacentral:tRNA from 1 species